rnacentral:rRNA from 1 species
GUGGAUGAUGUGGAUUAAUUCGAUGCAACGCGAAAAACCUUACCUACCCUUGACAUGUCAGGAAGUCUGCUGAGAGGUGGAUGUGCCCGAAAGGGAACCUGAACACAGGUGCUGCAUGGCUGUCGUCAGCUCGUGUCGUGAGAUGUUGGGUUAAGUCCCGCAACGAGCGCAACCCUUGUCGUUAAUUGCCAUCAUUCAGUUGGGCACUUUAACGAGACUGCCGGUGACAAACCGGAGGAAGGUGGGGAUGACGUCAAGUCCUCAUGGCCCUUAUGGGUAGGGCUUCACACGUCAUACAAUGGUCGGUACAGAGGGUUGCCAAGCCGCGAGGUGGAGCCAAUCCCACAAAGCCGAUCGUAGUCCGGAUCGCAGUCUGCAACUCGACUGCGUGAAGUCGGAAUCGCUAGUAAUCGUGGAUCAGCAUGUCACGGUGAAUACGUUCCCGGGUCUUGUACACACCGCCCGUCACACCAUGGGAGUGGGUUCCACCAGAAGUAGGUAGUCUAACCGCAAGGAGGGCGCUUACCACGGUGGGAUUC